rnacentral:sRNA from 1 species
UGACAAUAUAAUCCCUAGCUUCGUCAUG